UACGUAGGUGGCAAGCGUUGUCCGGAUUUACUGGGCGUAAAGGGCGUGCAGGCGGUUUGUUAAGUCUAGGGUGAAAGCUCCCGGCUCAACUGGGAGAGGUCCUUGGAUACUGGCAGACUUGAGGAGAGUAGGGGCGAGCGGAAUUCCGGGUGUAGCGGUGGAAUGCGUAGAGAUCCGGAAGAACACCGGGGGCGAAGGCGGCUCGCUGGGCAUGGUCCGACGCUGAGGCGCGAAAGCGUGGGGAGCGAACAGG
rnacentral:rRNA from 1 species